rnacentral:rRNA from 1 species
GACAGAGGGUGCAAACGUUGUUCGGAAUUACUGGGCGUAAAGCGCGUGUAGGCGGCAAGGCAAGUCGGAUGUGAAAGCCCACGGCUCAACCGUGGAAGUGCACCCGAAACUGCCUCGCUAGAGUCUCGGAGAGGAAGGUGGAAUGCUUGGUGUAGAGGUGAAAUUCGUAGAUAUCAAGCGGAACACCGGUGGCGAAGGCGGCCUUCUGGACGAUGACUGACGCUGAGACGCGAAAGCGUGGGGAGCGAACAGG